rnacentral:rRNA from 1 species
UUUAUGGAGAGUUUGAUCCUGGCUCAGGAUGAACGCUGGCGGCGUGCCUAAUACAUGCAAGUCGAGCGAACGGACGAGAAGCUUGCUUCUCUGAUGUUAGCGGCGGACGGGUGAGUAACACGUGGAUAACCUACCUAUAAGACUGGGAUAACUUCGGGAAACCGGAGCUAAUACCGGAUAAUAUUUUGAACCGCAUGGUUCAAAAGUGAAAGACGGUCUUGCUGUCACUUAUAGAUGGAUCCGCGCUGCAUUAGCUAGUUGGUAAGGUAACGGCUUACCAAGGCAACGAUGCAUAGCCGACCUG